rnacentral:rRNA from 1 species
CAAUAGCGUAUAUUAAAGUUGUUGCAGUUAAAAAGCUCGUAGUCGGAUUUCGGGGCCUGCCUGCCGGUCUGCCGAUGGGUAUGCACUGGCAGGCGCGUCCUUCCUUCCGGAGACUGUCCCUACUCUUAACUGAGCGGGGUCGGGAGACGGAUCGUUUACUUUGAAAAAUUAGAGUGUUUAAAGCAGGCUUAUGCCGUUGAAUAUAUUAGCAUGGAAUAAUAAGAUAGGACUUUGGAACUAUUUUGUUGGUUUGCGUUACAAAGUAAUGAUUAAUAGGGACAGUUGGGGGUAUUCGUAUUUCGUUGUCAGAGGUGAAAUUCUUGGAUUUCCGAAAGACGAACUACUGCGAAAGCAUUUACCAAGGAUGUUUUCAUUAAUCAAGAACGAAAGUUAGGGGAUCGAAGACGAUUAGAUACCAU